CCUUUCUAGGGAGUCUCUCCCAAUCCUAAAUUGGGGUGGCUUCUGGUUGCUCGUCAUUCAGUGUAGGUGCAUUUGUCGUACCUUGACAACUCACGCGAUGAAACCGUCUGUACCGUAUCGUUGCACUAGGCUUGUGUCCACCCGAGCCAGUGCGUCGUCGGACCGCGUUGGUCACGACGGAG
rnacentral:misc_RNA from 1 species